rnacentral:rRNA from 1 species
UACGUAGGGACCAAGCGUUGUUCGGAUUUACUGGGCGUAAAGGGCGCGUAGGCGGCAAAUUAAGUCAUCUGUGAAAUCUCCGAGCUUAACUCGGAACGGUCAGGUGAUACUGAUCUGCUAGAGUGCGGAAGGGGCAAUCGGAAUUCUUGGUGUAGCGGUGAAAUGCGUAGAUAUACGGAGGAACACCAGAGGCGAAGGCGGAUCGCUGGGCCAACACUGACGCUGAGACGCGAAAGCUAGGGUAGCAAACGGG